rnacentral:rRNA from 1 species
AACGAACGCUGGCGGCAGGCCUAACACAUGCAAGUCGAACGGUUGUAGCAAUACAGCAGUGGCGCACGGGUGAGUAACACGUGGGAACGUGCCUUUCAGUCUGGAAUAACAGCGGGAAUCUGCUGCUAAUACCGGAUAUUCUCUACGGAGGAAAGAUUUAACGCUGAAAGAUCGGCCCGCGUUAGAUUAGGUAGUUGGUAGGGUAAUGGCCUACCAAGCCUACGAUCUAUAGCUGGUCUGAGAGGAUGAUCAGCCACACUGGAACUGAGACACGGUCCAGACUCCUACGGGAGGCAGCAGUGGGGAAUAUUGGACAAUGGGGGAAACCCUGAUCCAGCCAUGCCGCGUGAGUGACGAAGGCCUUAGGGUUGUAAAGCUCUUUUAUCAGGGACGAUGAUGACGGUACCUGAAGAAUAAGACACGGCUAACUUCGUGCCAGCCGCCGCCGUAA